rnacentral:ncRNA from 1 species
UGGGUAUGUCUGCAAUCACAAAAUUCCACUUGAAGUCUCGCCGUAGUCCUAAGUCCAAUUUUAACUCUUUUUCUCCAAAAGUUUUAAUGGGACUUCCAUUUGCUGCGUAUAACGUAUAUUCUGUAGCCUUAAAUUUACCUUUUGUAGAUGGGGGCAACACGGAUAUGGCAGCACCUGUGUCUAUGAGAAAUGUCUGCCCAGUACGUUGGUCUCUCAAAAAUCUAGAUAACACUUGUGAUCGUACAGUCACCGUACUGACGACAUCUCUUUCAAACGCCUGACUUAUCAGCUGUCGAUGGUAGACUCUGUGUCUACCAUGGCCCUCACGGGUAACGGGGAAUCAGGGUUCGAUUCCGGAGAGGGAGCCUGAGAAACGGCUACCACAAUCAGGUGGCA